rnacentral:rRNA from 1 species
AACGAACGCUGGCGGCAUGCCUAACACAUGCAAGUCGAACGAGGCCUUCGGGUCUAGUGGCGCACGGGUGCGUAACGCGUGGGAACCUGCCCUUAGGUUCGGAAUAACUCCCCGAAAGGGGUGCUAAUACCGGAUAAUGUCUUCGGACCAAAGAUUUAUCGCCUUUGGAUGGGCCCGCGUUGGAUUAGCUAGUUGGUAGGGUAAAAGCCUACCAAGGCGACGAUCCAUAGCUGGUCUGAGAGGAUGAUCAGCCACACUGGGACUGAGACACGGCCCAGACUCCUACGGGAGGCAGCAGUGGGGAAUAUUGGACAAUGGGCAAAAGCCUGAUCCAGCAAUGCCGCGUGAGUGAUGAAGGCCUUAGGGUUGUAAAGCUCUUUUACCCGGGAUGAUAAUGACAGUACCGGGAGAAUAAGCUCCGGCUAACUCCGUG